CGAGAAGUGGGAGGAGGUGGGAGCAGAGGGAGGGAGUUGGGCACAGUGGGGCUCUCUGGUCUCCAAUCUCCGUGUGCUCACGCCAGCGGAGAGACGUCCAGGCUGCCGCUGCUGGGUGGCCAAAAAGGGUCACCUCCUAGCGUUGGGGCGCACGGGUGCGCGAAGACACUCGCGGUGGAGGCGUGGAGGGCGCAGCCCAACUCCGCUGGGGGGUAAGCGGCGGCGGGAGCGCGCCCGCCCGCGUUAUGUAAGCAAGGAUUGGAGGGAGAUGCGCGCCCAGCGCGGGAGGUGGAGACGGGCUGUUGGUUUACCAGCGGAAGCCUGGGCGAGAGAAACCUGAGGGCAGAGGCGGCUGCGGAGAGUGGGAGCGCGCCUGCCUCCCGCGGUGCGCCAGACUCGGACUCCAAGAGCGCAGCGGGCGCGCCCCGAGCCUUUUGGCUGAAUCCACUGGAGCUCAGCCUGCCGCCUGCCAGCUUCUCCACGGCGCCAGCAAAGCCUGAGCCAGACUCCCCAGGACUGGACUCGCUCUACGACUUGGGGUCUUGCGAUUGAUUAAACUGGGUGCGGACUCGAGAUGAAGUCCGGCGUGGUGGGGAUGAAGGCAAGACGCUUUUGCAGUGUCUCCAACCCGCUGCAAUCUCGGGAUUGUCAGCGCCGCUCAAACUGCUCUGUGAUCUGGGUGCGCCUGACUUCUCCCUCCUCCGUAGUGGAACAGAAACUAAAAAGCUAAAGGAAAACUCAUUCUUCAAAAGAGCUUUAUUUGCGUGCAUCCUGGUGGCUGGCAAUGUUGAGUAUGUAAAGGGUGGUGAGAUGAUACCUGGAGAGAUAAAAAGCAAAAGUAGGCAGAGAAGAAGGCAGAGAGAGAAGGGGAAGGAGCUCCCUGCUCAGCAGAGAUCCUGAUGCAGGACAUGAUCCUAGGAUCAUGACCUGAGCCGAAGGCAGAUGCUUAACUGACUGAGCCACCCAGGAGGUCCAAGAAGAUGUCACUUCUAAUCAAGACAGAGGCUGUUAAACUUGAUUUAGAAGAUUCAACAUGGGGAAGUGAAAAACCCAGAAGACCGACUCUCACUUUGUCUGUCUCCACGUAUUACAGCAAAAAACAGAAAUAAAGAGGAAGGAAGUCAGGUGUUUUGUUUUGUUCUUUCACUUUCCAUGCAAUCUACUUAUGAAGGAGGAGAGUAUAGAAACCCGACAGGCUGAGAGGAGGAGAAGGCACAAUCAUCUUCUGUCGACGUAGUGUGACUCAGUGGAAAAGGAUGUAAAAAAGAGAAACUGCAUUCUGAAGGCACCUUUGUAUGAGGGAGACAUUCGGGAUAUCUUUAAUGAAAAAGACACACAGGGUAGCACUGAUUUGAGAGAUACAAUGGAUUCAGUGAUACCACUCUGGGAGGCCCCAGGCAAGGGUGGAAAUCAGUGUUCUGCAGGGCUAGUAUGACAGCGGGGGGGAUGAGCCACCAAGCAUCUUGGUGACAGUCAUCAGUGUUCUGCAGGGCUACCAUGACGGCAGGGGGAUGAGCCACCAAGCAUCCUGGUGACAGAUGUUUCAGGCACAUGCUCUAUCACGAAAGUGCUGGGUUCUGAUUCCUGCACUGCUUCUCACUAACUUUGUGACCCUGGAAACUUGCCUAAUAAUUUCAUCGGCACUCUUACCUGUGAAUCGGGAUAUUAGUAGUACCUAUCUUAUAAUGUUGAAAGGAGUGAACCAGUUAAUUCACGUAGAGCAUUAAUAAUCAUGUAUAGGAUGAAGUAAACAUUAAUGUUAGCUACAUUAAUAAUUAUUAUAAUUAUAUUUCAGUAAAUAAACAUUUAUUUCUGUCAAAGAA